GACGAACGCUGGCGGCGUGCCUAAUACAUGCAAGUCGAGCGAACGGAUGAGAAGCUUGCUUCUCUGAUGUUAGCCGCGGACGGGUGAGUAACACGUGGAUAACCUACCUAUAAGACUGGUAUAACUACGGGAAACCGGAGCUAAUACCGGAUAAUAUUUUGAACCGCAUGGUUCAAAAGUGAAAGACGGUCUUUCUGUCACUUAUAGAUGGAUCCGCGCUGCAUUGUCUAGUUGGUAAGGUAACGGCUUACUAAGGCAAAGAUGCAUAGCCGAGCUGAGAGGGUGAUCGGCCACAGAGGAACUGAGACACGGUCCAGGCACCUAGGGGAGGCAGCAGUAGGGACUCUUCCGGAAUGGGCGAAAGCCUGACGAAGCGACGCCGCGUGAGUGAAGAAGGUCUUCGGAUCGUAAAACGCUGUUAUUAGGGUAGAACAUAUGUGCAAGUAACUGUGCACAUCUUGACGGUACCUAAUAAGAAAGACCCGGUUAACUCCGU
rnacentral:rRNA from 1 species